GCUGCGGUGGUGGAAUUUGGUAGACACGCCAGCUUGAGGGGCUGGUGCCCGAAAGGGUGUGGAAGUUCAAGUCUUCUCCGCAGCA
rnacentral:tRNA from 1 species